GUUUCAGAUAUAUUUCCUACAUCCCAGUUGAACUGCGCAAAUCACACAAGGCAUAUAAAACAACAGCUGCAGACAAUAACUGCUUGUAUGCUAGCGUUUCGAUACUAAGACUGGCAGGCAUCAUCACCGGUGUCAUCAAGCUACAGGAACUCGUAGCCAAUGUUCUUAAACCGCACACAACACUGGAAGACAUUAGAAUCUGGACAAAUUAAGUCACGACAGCUAGACGGCGUGAUUACAGCGUUGGACUUCCAAACUUCCAAGUUUGGAAGACAUUGUGACACAGAUACACAUGGAAGAACUGUACAAGACAGCUCGCAAGGCUGAUUCAGGUCACAUCCAACUCACAAUGCUCAGUAAAUACCUGCACAGGACCAUUGAGGUUUAUGCAGGAGCACACAAAACGGUUGUGCAGUACCACAAUGCACAACAGUACAAAGGAGUGAUGCUGCUGCUGGCACCAGCUCAGAUGGCUUGCUGAGGCUAACCCACUUCGUGCCAAUGAUUCCAAGAAGUGCGCAAGAACUUGAAAACAUCAAUAACAACUGUGGGGCCG